AGUAACGCGUAGGUAACCUGCCUUGUAGCGGGGGAUAACUAUUGGAAACGAUAGCUAAUACCGCAUAACAAUGGAUGACCCAUGUCAUUUAUUUGAAAGGGGCAAAUGCUCCACUACAAGAUGGACCUGCGUUGUAUUAGCUAGUAGGUGAGGUAACGGCUCACCUAGGCGACGAUACAUAGCCGACCUGAGAGGGUGAUCGGCCACACUGGGACUGAGACACGGCCCAGACUCCUACGGGAGGCAGCAUG
rnacentral:rRNA from 1 species